UUCCCCCUUCUCUCUCUCNCUCUCUCUCUCUCUCCCUCCCUCCCUCCCUUCGAGCUCAGAUCGCCGGCGAAGCGCCGCCGCCUCGGCCUCGUCGCCUCCGCCAUCUCCUGGUUCGCCCCCGGCCUCGUCGUCUCUGCCCCGGCCUCGUCGCCUCUGCCAUCUUCUGCUUCAUGCGCCGCCGCCCCGCCGCCCCGGCCUCGUCGCCUCCGCCAUCUCCUGCUUUACGCCCCGCCGUGACUUUAGCCUCCGUCCGCCACCAAUACCCACCACGACUUCGCCGCUGCCAACAAAUCGAUCGGGCUCGCCCUAAUUGACUCGAUCGCCGACGAUCGGAGUGGCGGCGGCGGCGACUGCAAAUUCUCGAAGUCUAUUAAUCGGCUGUUGUUGUUCGGAUCGAAGUUGAAGUUGUUCGGAUCCCACCAUAAGAUAUUUUUCUUUUCUUUUCUUUUUCUCCCAAAGACUUGCGCCGUUUGUGGACAAUUACUUAUUCAGUUGAAGUUUCUGUGUGAUUUGAUUUCAAAGCAUACGUCUAGAUAUUUGUGUAUCUGUGGAGAACUAGGAACUGUGGAUUGUCGAGACAGUUAUUUCUUAUUGUGGGUCGAAAAGAUUUUUGGAGUGCUGGAGCUUCUUAUUCUUCUUCAUUGUGAAAGUUUGGUAAAGUUUCAUCCUUUACAGAUUAAGUAGGCGUAUUAUUUAUUUUUUCUGCUUUGUGGAAUAUUCCACUUUGUGCAUAAAUUUUGGUAGUUUUGUACUUUCUGGGUAUUGCUUGGAAAUGAUAAUUUGUUUCUUGAUGGAUUUUGCUAUUCUUGAAAAGGGAUUCGGGUGAGUUUGGUCCAAGUUUG
rnacentral:lncRNA from 1 species